rnacentral:misc_RNA from 1 species
AAAAAUAAAUUAUAUCCCAAAGAAAAAUAAAUUAUAUUCCAAAACUUACAUUCAAUUUCUAUUUUCAGAGUAAACCAAACGUGGCCCAACAAUCCAAGGCCGAGUCACACAAGGUAGGGAACUACCCAUCUUUGGAGAUCUCAAUUCCAUGAUAAUCUCAAUGAAGGAAAUCAACAACAAUCCAAAAAUUAACGGCUACAAUUUGGGUAGCCUCUUAUAGCCUCUUCUUGUUAUAAGAUGAUUUCCUCCUGCACACUACCGUUAAUGAUCUUAUUUGGAAGAACAAUACAGUUAGUAACAACAACUUCAUCUUCAAC